rnacentral:rRNA from 1 species
GAGUACGUGAAACCGUUUAGGGGUAAACCUGAGAAACCCGAAAAGUCGAAGGGAGAAAUUCACCGCGGUUCGACGAAGGUGACGUUUCGGCGAGUGACUGCGCUCUUCGGACGCGCGGCGCCGUCGUUUCGUUUUUAUCGACGACGAACGCGUGCACUUUUCUCCCGGUAGGACGUCGCGAUCCGUUGGGCGUCGGUCUACGGCUUACGGUGGAGACCGCGUGUCGUUUUUCGGAACGUACGCGCGGACCCGUUUGCACCCCGACCGACUCGCUCGACGGUAUACGAACGGUUCUGGGCCGCUUUUAAAGCGUCCGUAUUACUCGGACAGACCCUCAUAACCGAUCUGCGACGC